rnacentral:rRNA from 1 species
UACGGAGGGUGCGAGCGUUGUCCGGAAUUAUUGGGCGUAAAGAGCUCGUAGGCGGCCAGUUGCGUCUGCUGUGAAAUCCCGGGGCUCAACCCCGGGCGUGCAGUGGAUACGGGCUGGCUAGAGGCAGGCAGGGGAGAACGGAAUUCCCGGUGUAGCGGUGAAAUGCGCAGAUAUCGGGAGGAACACCGGUGGCGAAGGCGGUUCUCUGGGCCUGUACUGACGCUGAGGAGCGAAAGCGUGGGGAGCGAACAGG